rnacentral:rRNA from 1 species
GACGAACGCUGGCGGCGUGCUUAACACAUGCAAGUCGAACGGAAAGGCCCUGCUUUUCUGGGGUGCUCGAGUGGCGAACGGGUGAGUAACACGUGAGUAACCUGCCCUUGACUUUGGGAUAACUUCGGGAAACUGGGUCUAAUACCGGAUAGGAGCUCCUUCUGCAUGGUGUGGGUGGGAAAUUUUCGGCGGUUGGGGAUGGACUCGCGGCUUAUCAGCUUGUUGGUGGGGUGGUGGCUUACCAAGGCUUUGACGGGUAGCCGGCCUGAGAGGGUGAACGGCCACAUUGGGACUGAGAUACGGCCCAGACUCCUACGGGAGGCAGCAGUGGGGAAUAUUGCACAAUGGGCGGAAGCCUGAUGCAGCAACGCCGCGUGCGGGAUGACGGCCUUCGGGUUGUAAACCGCUUUCGCCUGGGACGAAGCGUGAGUGACGGUAAUGGGUAAAGAAGCACCGGCUAACUACGUG